GGCGGGCGGAGGGAGGCGGGGGUGCUGUCUGUUGUAAACAAACUGUUUAUCAUUCCCCGAUCCGAGGCAGUCACUUUGUCACUUCACUAUUCCUAAUCGGAUUGAAAUUCUUCACUGUAGUGUUUAGGAUUAGAUUUACUUACAGUUUCUAGUAUUAUUCCAUGUGUUUAAAUCUUUUAAAAUGAUAAAAUUCAUCAAAGCACCUCUCAUGACCAAUUAUCGUCCUUGAAUGAUCAUUGUGUCUGACUCUCUGGUGGCCCAGGCUACCUCUGGGGCAUUUUGGAUCUCUGGACUCUCCAACUGCAUUGUUCAUUAAAAAUUCCUUUUAAUGGCUUUCAGUUUCAGCAAUGCGUUAAACUCUGGGCUCCCACGCAGAGCAGGGGCCAGACCUCCUCCACCAGGACCACCUCCUCCGCCGCAAGUGGGGCCACUGCAGCUCAGACCCGGAUUCGGGCGGAAUCACCCUCAAUCAGAUCUAGAUGUUCAACAACAGCAACAACAUCAGCAAAUGGUGCAGCAACAGCUGAUGCAGAUGAUCUCAGCAACUGGACACUCCAUGCUUCCACACGGACAGCUCCUUUUAGGCCCGCAACAAUUUCCACCCCUUCAAUUCUGAAUGAAAUGCAUCCACUAGAUAUGCCGUUGCUUAAAGACGCUCCUCCGCUUGAUAUGGGCCUAAUGGCCCAGGCCCCAACUAAAGGUAAGCUUACCCUCAGUAAAAAAUGAAAGGUCCUAGACAAAGUCAAAUAACUUCUUUUUUUACCUUAGUCCUAAAAGAACAUCUUGCGAAAAAGAAUGGC
rnacentral:lncRNA from 1 species